AGCCAUGAAGUCGAUGAAGGAAGUCUCCUGCACAGGUGCAAAUGUACAUGCAAAAAUCGCCGACGUUUUAAGAGAUUUUGGAUGUGACCUCGAAAAUGACAAUCCAGUUAUUGUUACUGAUCGUGGGUCAAACAUGAUUAAAGCCUUCUGCAA